rnacentral:rRNA from 1 species
CAAUAGCGUAUAUUUAAGUUGUUGCAGUUAAAAAGCUCGUAGUUGGAUUUCGGGUGGGACGCAGCGGUCUCGCAUUGCGUUUGUACUGCUGCAGCCCACCUUCUUGCCGGGGGCGGCCUCUCGGACUUCACUGUCUGGGGGUCAGAAUCGGCGAUGUUACUUUGAGUAAAUUAGAGUGUUCAAAGCAAGCUUACGCUCUGAAUAUAAUAGCAUGGGAUAACACGACAGGACUCUGGCCUAUCGUGUUGGUCUAUAGGACCAGAGUAAUGAUUAAGAGGGACAGUCGGGGGCAUUCGUAUUCCGUUGUCAGAGGUGAAAUUCUUGGAUUUACGGAAGACGAACAUCUGCGAAAGCAUUUGCCAAGGAUGUUUUCAUUGA